CACGAAUUAAGAUGAGCUAAUUAACUAUAAAUAUUAGUUUUAAGGAUGUAGCAUAAUUAUGAUAAACUGUUAAUUAGGGGUGAUAGGCUUAACAAGUCUUAUUAUAACUUGAUGUUUAUGAAAUGUAUUAAGUACAUACUCAACUAAAGAGUGCAAAGAUUCUUUAAAGGUAUUAAGGUCGUCAACAAACGCCAAUGUCUAGUUAUAACUAACAGACGGUAUAUAAAUAAAACAUUAUUCUUUAUGUUAUUAUUGAUAAUAAUAAACUAUAAAAUAAUCUAAUUAAAUAUAAAGAAUGUUAUUAUUAGUAAUUAAAAUAACUAUUUUUCAUGAAUUCGGCAACAUUUUCUCCAACUGUUUAUCAAAAACAUAGCUAGUAGUAAUUAAUUAUUAGUAUUUUCUGCUCAAUGAACAUUAAAUGGCCGCAGUACCCUGACUGUGCUAAGGUAGCAUAAUCAAUUGGCUUGUAAUUUAAGUCUCGUAUGAACGAAAACAUGAGGGAAAUACUUUAUUAAAAAUAUAUUAUUAAAUUGCUUUGUAAGUGAAAAUACUUACAGCAAAUUAUUAGACGAGAAGACCCUAGAAAUUUUUAGCACUUGAAAAAUAUAGUUUUUGUUGGGGCAACAUUGUAACACGUAACUUACAAGAAACACAAGAAACUUAUUGUUAGAUUAAAUUACUCUAGGGAUAACAGCGUAAUGUAUUAACGUUUGCGACCUCGAUGUUGGAUUAGGAAAUAUAAGCUUAGAA
rnacentral:rRNA from 1 species